UACGGAGGGGGCUCGCGUUGUUCGGAAUUACUGGGCGUAAAGCGCACGUAGGCGGCUUUGUAAGUUAGAGGUGAAAGCCCGGAGCUUAACUCCGGAACUGCCUUUAAGACUGCAUCGCUAGAAUCGUGGAGAGGUGAGUGGAAUUCCGAGUGUAGAGGUGAAAUUCGUAGAUAUUCGGAAGAACACCAGUGGCGAAGGCGACUCACUGGACACGUAUUGACGCUGAGGUGCGAAAGCGUGGGGAGCAAACAGG
rnacentral:rRNA from 1 species